GGAGAAGCUGUGAUGUGAUUCAAGUAUCUUCCGUCAACCAGAAUCAGCAUCAGAUGCAAAGAGCAGCAGGGCUGUUGGAGAAGGAGAGCAGGGAUCACCCUGCACGGGCAGGACUACACUUCGCCUCGGGGAGCUGUCUAGCUUCCUCAGAUAACUUCUUCAGCCUUCCAAUGAGGACAGAACACCAGUGGCUCCAGAAAUCUUCCAGGCCUUCAGCACCAGAUUUGGACUGCUGAGGCACCAAGCUUCGUGGGCUGAGCAGCUACCAGGUUCUCAGCCUCUCCAGCAUGGCCAUUGCUGAGCUGCCCAGCGUCUCCUGUGUACACCAUCCCAGUAAAUCCAUUAUGCAUAGCUAUGCAGUCUGUUCCCCAGAGAACACAGAUGGAAUGUGGAUGGCCAAGAGACAAAGCUGUUUUGUACUCUCUUAGUCCCUUUGGAUAUAGUGACUGUCCACCUCAGUAUCUACCCCAAUACCCUCAUGUCUUUUCAAAUGUCACCUAAGCCUGACCCACAAGUCUCUACAUGCUCUAAAGUUGAGGAUGCUAUAAAGCUUCCCUGAUGA